UGUUGUGUAUGAUGAGAAAUACCAAUUUUACAGUUAUCCCUGUCUGAUACUGCAGUGCAGGUGCUGAAAAUUUGUAAUCUGACACAUUG
rnacentral:snoRNA from 1 species